rnacentral:tRNA from 1 species
GUAGCUUAAUGGUAAAGCACCCAACCAUGCAGCAAUUGGGGGAUCUGGGUUCAAAUCCCAGC